AAAAAAAAUUUUAAUUCAAAUUUUAAAAUAAUUAUUUUAUGUAAAUUAACGUUUCUCUCUAUGAUUAAUUCUUUCAUAUUCUGUUAUGCAUCUUUAUCAAUGAAUAUUUCACAUACUAUUUCGUACACAAUCAAAUACGAAAACAUGAAGAUUUCAAUGCGCCAUUUUCAUAAAACCAUCGUAAUAGGAAAAAUAUUUAUAAUGAUUCAGUAUAAUUGCCAUAAUUCGUGAGAAUGGUAGUCGUUGUACAAAAAGAUCGGUUAAAACAAUCUUUCAAUUGUCAAAGCAAUAAUACAAAUGCAUCUCGUUAACAUUGAAAUGUCACAGUCUGUUGAACAGCGACGAUGAAAGGUCACCAAGCAAACAGAACACUUUUCAUUUUGUGCCUUUUCAGGAACAGCUGCUUUUUUAUUUUUCACUUUCGUCAUUGUUGUCGUGAAAAUGAGAGUUGUGCGCAGGUGUUGAGAGAGAGUAAAUGAGCUGCGAAGUAUUUAAUGAAUUGGAGCAUGAAAACAAGAAAUUGAAAUAAUAAUUAGUAGCCUUGAUUAUGAAACUUUAAGCCAAAUCUGUAAAUUAAGCACUAAUUCGAAAUAUAAUUUUGUAAUUAAGGCCAAGUGCUAAAACUAAUUUACUGUUUCCAGAAGUAACAAGGACAUUUUUAAUGAAAAUCUGCAAAUUUAUGUUAUUGAAAAAAUAUGUUGUCUUUUCUUUAUAGUCGAGUAAAAUUAGAAUUUUUCUUUGAAAAAACUAAUACUUACAUACAUUUCUGGUUCAUUUCACACCAUGGCUUAUAAACCCUUAUCAAUCUAUCAAGUCUUAGAGAAGAACACCGUAAAGAUACAUCCAAGUUUGCAGCGAUAUUUGAGCCUGCUACCACCAUGCUACAGAGCAUUUAUCGGAACGGCAACCCAAAGACACUUUCUUUUUCUCGAUAUUUUCUUUAAAAAGGUUAAUACAAAAGUUAUCCCGUUGUUCAAA